GCCCAUAUAGCUCAGGGGUCAGAGCACUUCCUUGGUAAGGAAGAGGUCGGCGGUUCAAUUCCGCUUAUGGGCU
rfam:Helicobacter bizzozeronii CCTG 35545, WGS project CAGP01000000 data, contig: tsc_c9